UGUGGGAGCGAGCUUGCUCGCGAUAACGGUGUGUCAGCGACAUCAAUGCUGACUGAUAUACCGCUAUCGCGAGCAAGCUCGCUCCCACA
rnacentral:misc_RNA from 1 species